UACGUAGGGGGCGAGCGUUAUCCGGAUUUACUGGGUGUAAAGGGAGCGCAGGCGGUGUGGCAAGUCAGAUGUGAAAACCCGGGGCCCAACCCCGGGAGUGCAUUUGAAACUGCUUCCCUUGAGUAUCGGAGAGGUAACCGGAAUUCCUAGUGUAGCGGUGAAAUGCGUAGAUAUUAGGAAGAACACCAGUGGCGAAGGCGGCUUGCUGGACGGUAACUGACGCUGAGGCUCGAAAGCGUGGGGAGCAA
rnacentral:rRNA from 1 species